rnacentral:rRNA from 1 species
GAUGAACGCUAGCGGCAGGCCUAAAACAUGCAAGUCGAGGGGUAGAAGAGGCUUGCUUCUUUGAGACCGGCGCACGGGUGCGUAACGCGUAUGCAACCUACCUUCAUCUGGGGGAUAGCCCGGAGAAAUCCGGAUUAAUACCGCAUAAAAUCACAGGAUGGCAUUAUCCAAUGAUAAAACAUCUAUGGGAUGGAGAUGGGCAUGCAUGUCAUUAGCUAGUUGGCGGGGUAACGGCCCACCAAGGCGACGAUGACUAGGGGAUCUGAGAGGAUGGCCCCCCACACUGGUACUGAGACACGGACCAGACUCCUACGGGAGGCAGCAGUAAGGAAUAUUGGUCAAUGGAGGCAACUCUGAACCAGCCAUGCCGAGUGCAGGAAGACUGCCCUAUGGGUUGUAAACUGCUUUUAUUCGGGAAUAAACCUUAUUACGUGUAAUAAGCUGAAUGUACCGAAGGAAUAAGGAUCGGCUAACUCCGUGCCAGCCGCCGCUGUAA